rnacentral:rRNA from 1 species
CCUACGUGUGGCUGCAGUGGGGAAUAUUGGACAAUGGGCGAAAGCCUGAUCCAGCCAUGCCGCGUGUGUGAAGAAGGCCUUCGGGUUGUAAAGCACUUUCAGUGGGGAAGAAAGCCUUGGGGCUAAUACCCUCGAGGAAGGACAUCACCCACAGAAGAAGCACCGGCUAACUCCGUGCCAGCAGCCGCGGUAAUACGGAGGGUGCGAGCGUUAAUCGGAAUUACUGGGCGUAAAGCGCGCGUAGGCGGUCUGAUAAGCCGGUUGUGAAAGCCCCGGGCUCAACCUGGGAACGGCAUCCGGAACUGUCAGGCUAGAGUGCAGGAGAGGAAGGUAGAAUUCCCGGUGUAGCGGUGAAAUGCGUAGAGAUCGGGAGGAAUACCAGUGGCGAAGGCGGCCUUCUGGACUGACACUGACGCUGAGGUGCGAAAGCGUGGGUAGCAAACAGGAUUAAUACCCCGGUAGU